UACGGAGGGGGCUAGCGUUGUUCGGAAUUACUGGGCGUAAAGCGCACGUAGGCGGCUUUGUAAGUUAGAGGUGAAAGCCUGGAGCUCAACUCCAGAACUGCCUUUAAGACUGCAUCGCUUGAAUCCAGGAGAGGUGAGUGGAAUUCCGAGUGUAGAGGUGAAAUUCGUAGAUAUUCGGAAGAACACCAGUGGCGAAGGCGGCUCACUGGACUGGUAUUGACGCUGAGGUGCGAAAGCGUGGGGAGCAAACAGGG
rnacentral:rRNA from 1 species